rnacentral:rRNA from 1 species
AGUGAACGCUGGCGGUAGGCCUAACACAUGCAAGUCGAACGGCAGCACAGUAAGAGCUUGCUCUUACGGGUGGCGAGUGGCGGACGGGUGAGGAAUACAUCGGAAUCUACUUUUUCGUGGGGGAUAACGUAGGGAAACUUACGCUAAUACCACAUACGACCUACGGGUGAAAGCAGGGGAUCUUCGGACCUUGCGCGAUUGAAUGAGCCGAUGUCGGAUUAGCUAGUUGGCGGGGUAAAGGCCCACCAAGGCGACGAUCCGUAGCUGGUCUGAGAGGAUGAUCAGCCACACUGGAACUGAGACACGGUCCAGACUCCUACGGGAGGCAGCAGUGGGGAAUAUUGGACAAUGGGCGCAAGCCUGAUCCAGCCAUACCGCGUGGGUGAAGAAGGCCUUCGGGUUGUAAAGCCCUUUUGUUGGGAAAGAAAAGCAGCAGGCUAAUACCCCGCUGUUCUGACGGUACCCAAAGAAUAAGCACCGGCUAACUUCGUG